GAUGAACGCUGGCGGCGUGCCUAAUACAUGCAAGUCGAGCGAACGGACGAGAAGCUUGCUUUUCUGAUGUUAGCGGCGGACGGGUGAGUAACACGUGGAUAACCUACCUAUAAGACUGGGAUAACUUCGGGAAACCGGAGCUAAUACCGGAUAAUAUUUUGAACCGCAUGGUUCAAAAGUGAAAGACGGUCUUGCUGUCACUUAUAGAUGGAUCCGCGCUGCAUUAGCUAGUUGGUAAGGUAACGGCUUACCAAGGCAACGAUGCAUAGCCGACCUGAGAGGGUGAUCGGCCACACUGGAACUGAGGCACGGUCCAGACUCCUACGGGAGGCAGCAGUAGGGAAUCUUCCGCAAAGGGCGAAAGCCUGACGGAGCAACGCCGCGUGAGUGAUGAAGGUCUUCGGAUCGUAAAACUCUGUUAUUAGGGAAGAACAUAUGUGUAAGUAACUGUGCACAUCUUGACGGUACCUAAUCAGAAAGCCACGGCUAACUACGUG
rnacentral:rRNA from 1 species